rnacentral:lncRNA from 1 species
UAUGGUGGCCCAAACUUAUAUAAAUCUGUGUCUUGUGUCCUUGCUUUUACCUUCGAGUUUCAGGUUCGGUGAUCCCCCAUCAACCAAUCUACUACCUCGGAAUACCCCUCGGUAGGUUACUAGGUAUAAAUCACCGACAGAAGGGAAGCCAUCAAUAAAGAGCUGGCCAAACUACUUGCGACGGGCUUCAUAAAAGAAGUCUAUCAUCCAGAGUGGCUCUGUGAUGACCGACCCCAAAUCUCUCGAGUUAAUCUUAAUCUGAGUCCCUAAUCCC